AAAUUGAAGAGUUUGAUCAUGGCUCAGAUUGAACGCUGGCGGCAGGCCUAACACAUGCAAGUCGAACGGUAGCACAGAGAGCUUGCUCUCGGGUGACGAGUGGCGGACGGGUGAGUAAUGUCUGGGAAACUGCCUGAU
rnacentral:rRNA from 4 species